AGCGAACAGACGAGGAGCUUGCUCCUCUGACGUUAGCGGCGGACGGGUGAGUAACACGUGGAUAACCUACCUAUAAGACUGGGAUAACUUCGGGAAACCGGAGCUAAUACCGGAUAAUAUAUUGAACCGCAUGGUUCAAUAGUGAAAGACGGUUUUGCUGUCACUUAUAGAUGGAUCCGCGCCGCAUUAGCUAGUUGGUAAGGUAACGGCUUACCAAGGCAACGAUGCGUAGCCGACCUGAGAGGGUGAUCGGCCACACUGGAACUGAGACACGGUCCAGACUCCUACGGGAGGCAGCAGUAGGGAAUCUUCCGCAAUGGGCGAAAGCCUGACGGAGCAACGCCGCGUGAGUGAUGAAGGUCUUCGGAUCGUAAAACUCUGUUAUUAGGGAAGAACAAAUGUGUAAGUAACUAUGCACGUCUUGACGGUACCUAAUAGAAAGC
rnacentral:rRNA from 1 species